rnacentral:lncRNA from 1 species
GGGUGGGUUGAUGGUCCAUCAAGGCUAUGACAAUCCGCUGCCCUGACCGUCAAGUCUUAACAAGUAAAACAUUUAUCACAUAGCCUUGCGGCGGUCACUUUGAUGGUCCAUCAGGUUGUCUGUUGCAGCUAAACCAGUACCUAAUUUUUUUAGAAACUUUUCAAUAGUCAAAGUAACGAUCUAUCGGGUGUCCAACGGUCCAUCAAGUUGGCCGUCAUUUUGACAUUGCAACAUCAAGUUUCACUUUGGCAAUUUUACAAACAUCUGGUAUGCAUUCAAUCAUCAAGCAUACAAUCACUGUAUUAAUUUCAACUUUUAAACACUAAUUACACAAAUUUUUUGCCAUGGG